rnacentral:rRNA from 1 species
GUCGAGAAUCUUCCGCAAUGCGCGAAAGCGUGACGGAGCGACACCGCGUGAUGGAUGAAGUCCUUCGGGGCGUAAACAUCUUUUAUAAAGGAGGAAAUUUUUGACGUUACUUUAUGAAUAAGGGGCUCCCAAUCUCGUGCCAGCAGGAGCGGUAAUACGAGAGCCUCAAGCGUUAUCCGGAAUCAUUGGGCGUAAAGGGUGCGUAGGUGGUUUGAUUAGUCUCCCGUUAAAACUUCGAGCUUAACUCGAAAAGAGCGGGGGAAACGGUCAAACUAGAGUAUGUGAGAGGUUUGUGGAACUCAUGGUGUAGGGGUGAAAGCCGUUGAUAUCAUGGGGAACACCAAAAGCGAAGGCAGCACACUGGCACAUCACUGACACUGAGGCACGAAACCUAAGGUAGCGAAUGGGAUUAGAUACCCGAGUAGUCC